rnacentral:lncRNA from 1 species
AUGACCCUCUGGUCUUCCUCUGAGCUGGGCUGUGUCUGGGAGCGAGGCCUGCACUCUGCACCUGUGAGAGCCACGAGGAGCCCACGUGAGCCUGGCAGAAGGUCAGAUGGCAAGAGCUGGUUCCUGAUGGAGCUGCCGAGGGCACGGAGGUCACUCUGCCAGUGGAAAACUCUCCCUCUCCAGGUAGAGACCCAAACACAGCCUUCCCCAGAGCACCUACUUUCAGGAUCACCGGGUCCCAUUCUGUGCUCCUGUGUGGGCUCCCUGUUKGGAGGACGCUGGCUUGGUAUGUAAAAAAGUAUCUAUGAGUCCCAAAUUUGGAAAGCCCAGCCUUGCAGACAUGUGACGUCAUUGAAAGGCGGGUUACCUGCUCAGGUGGGGACUGCAGGAGCCAGCAGAUUGGAGAGUGUGCAACAGGUGCUUUUUCCUUCAAUUUACAGUGUUCUGUGUGGCUGUGUGAGUUCACCAUGGUGUCYGGUUGUCUUAGCCGCAGCUUCAUUGGGAAUCACUGCGUUUGGAAAGACUUGAUGAGGAGUGCAGAGCUGGGGACCCACCCGGGGCCUGGCUGGCCAUCCAGGAGGAACUCAGUGACAGAUGGAGCUGAGGGUGAGGGACUGGACCCAAGAGAGGUUGGGGGACUGCAGUGAGCCCAGGAGGCCCUUCUCGUGCUGAGCCUGGUGGACAGGGAACCUGGGUGUGGUGGCUGACCUCGGUGCCCCGUGGCAGGGGAUCCGUCCACCUCCCUGCCCCAGGUUGAGGCCACUCAGUGGGGCUGCCUCUGUGGCCAACUGUGAUUAGUUCUUGAAUGCAGCUCAAACCCUUUGUGUGCUUACAAGGUGCUUGACAGAUACACGCAUCUGGCAAACUAACCCGUCUUUGUUUYUCUUUGAAUCUUCUGCCUGGAGAAGUGGGGGAGACAGUUGAGUUUGUGGGUGCACAGAAGGAACUUCCCUCAGGAGCAGAGAGCCUUCUGUUGAGGAUGCUCUCACUCACUCCUCAGGGAGAAGGGACAUUCCUUUAGUCAUUACAGACGCGGUGAAGAGAGCAGUCCUGAUUUUCGGUGGGAACAACUUGCCUGGAUGAUGUGGGGACAGGAGGCACUCCAGCUGAGGUUCCUCUUUUGUUCCAAGAGUUGUGUAGACCUGCAGGUACUUCUGAUGACACACCUGAAAACGAUCACGUGAGCUGGCCAUGGUGGUGCAUGCCUAGAAUCCCAGCAACUUGGGAGGCUGGGGCAGGAGGAUGGCAAGUUCAAGGCCAGCUUCAGCAAAGUAAUGAGGCCCUAAGCAACUUAGUGAGAACCUGCCCCCCCCAAAAAAAAAAUAAAGGGAGGACUGAGGAUAUGACUCA